CCUACGGGAGGCAGCAGUAGGGAAUUUUCCACAAUGGGCGAAAGCCUGAUGGAGCCACGCCGCGUGGAUGAAGAAUGUCUUCGGAUCUUAAAACCCUGUUUUUAAAGAAGUAAGUGCGUGAGAGUGACUGUUCACGUUUCGACUGUAUCUAUACAGAACGCCACAGCUCACUACGGGCCAGCAGCCGCGAUAAUACGUAGGUGGCAAGCGUUAUCCGGUUUUAUUUGGCUUAAAGGGAACGCAGGCGGUCUGUUAAGUGGGAUGUGAAGGUCUUCGGCUUAACCGGAGUAGUGCAUUGGAUACUGGCAGACUUGAGUGCAGAUGAGGUGAGCGGAACUCGAGGUGUAGCGGUGAAAUGCGUAGAUAUAUGGAAGAACACCAGUUGCGAAGGCAGCUUACUAAUCUGUCACUGACGCUGAGGUUCGAAAGUGUGGGUAGCAAACAGGAUUAGAUACCCGUGUAGUC
rnacentral:rRNA from 1 species